AACGUAGGAGACAAACGUUAUCCGGAGUUACUGGGCGUAAAGGGCGUGUAGGUGGUUGUGUAAGUCUGGCGUGAAAUUUUUCGGCUUAACCGGGAAAGGUCGUCGGAUACUGCAGAACUAGAGGACGGUAGAGGCGUGUGGAAUUCCCGGUGUAGUGGUGAAAUGCGUAGAUAUCGGGAGGAACACCAGUGGCGAAGGCGGCUUUCUGGCCUGUUCUUGACGCUGAGGCGCGAAAGCUAGGGGAGCGAACGGG
rnacentral:rRNA from 1 species